UAGACUAACAUUCACAGCUGUUCUGGUCUUCAAGAAAAGGAAGAUGAUUUUACUGACUUUAGUGUCUGUCAGCGACAGAAAAGAUGAAUGUAACCAUGCUGGAAAGGUUUUAAUGAUGUUCACAGCUUCAUCAGGAUAUAUUCAAAAAGAGUGUGAAAGAAUGUUUAUGAGGUUAACAGAUUAGAGUCACGGAUCUAUGAAUACUGAAGCAGAAAAUGGUGGAUCAGUCCAGAGUCCAUGUCUGGAUCUUCAGGCCUGCAGCAAGUGAU